rnacentral:rRNA from 1 species
UACGUAGGGACCGAGCGUUAUCCGGAUUCAUUGGGCGUAAAGAGCUCGUAGGCGGCUAUUCAAGUCGAACGUGAAAUCUCGGGGCUCAACUCCGAGCCUGCGUUCGAUACUGGGUAGCUAGAGUCUGGUAGGGGGGAUCUGGAAUUCCUGGUGUAGCGGUGGAAUGCGCAGAUAUCAGGAAGAACACCAACGGCGAAGGCAGCUCGCUGGGACGGUACUGACGCUGAGACGCGAAAAGCGUGGGGGAGCGAACAGG